rnacentral:tRNA from 1 species
GCUGGCUUGGGGUAGUGGACGCACGGCAUUAAGCCAAUCCUUCGACCCUUUCGAGGUCGAGACACGAGUUCGAAUCUCGUAGCCAGUA